ensembl:lncRNA
GGUACAGAGUCAAUGUGGAGACUAUAUACAGGGUAUUACGGUACAGAGUCAAUGUGGAGGCUAUAUACAGGGGGUACUGGUACAGAGUCAAUGUGGAGGCUAUAUACAGGGGGUACCGGUACAGAGUCAAUGUGGAGACUAUAUACAGGGGGUACCGGUACAGAGUCAAUGUGGAGACUAUAUACAGGGGGGUACCGGUACAGAGUCAAUGUGGAGACUAUAUACAGGGUGUUACGGUACAGAGUCAAUGUGGAGACUAUAUACAGGGUGUUACGGUACAGAGUCAAUGUGGAGACUAUAUACAGGGUGUUACGGUACAGAGUCAAUGUGGAGACUAUAUACAGGGUGUUACGGUACAGAGUCAAUGUGGAGGCUAUAUACAGGGGGUACCGGUACAGAGUCAAUGUGGAGGCUAUAUACAGGGGGUACCGGUACAGAGUCAGUGUGGAGGCUAUAUACAGGGG